ACCUCUGUAGCACAACGGAUAAGUGCGUCUGGCUGUUAACCAGAAGGUUAGUGGUUUGAGCCCAUCCAGGGACA